UCCUCUUUGUUUGAUCUUGCCGUUCACUUUAAAUUUAAUACAUAAUAAAUUCAUGUCCGUGUACUUCCUAUGAUCUAAAUAAUUUAAGUCCGUGGACCGAACCGUGAUAAGGUUUUGUUUGAUACAUUGUAUACAAAUUUAGGAAGCCCUGUGGUGUCAAAUAUUGCUAUCAAAACGUGCGUAGACUUCCAUCCGUUCAUCGAUCUGUCGACAUUACCCUAGUGGUUAGUGUAGUUGCUUAUAUUCUUUGUUUUGUACCCAUUUCGCCGUUGUGGAAUUAAGAAGUUCGAUCGUCACUACAAAUAACGUAAGUAAACGCCUAUACUCAUAGUUCAGUUUCAGCCUAUUUAACUAACUAACGUAAGCACAUUGGUAUUUUCGAACGGGAAUACACUAAUCGAAAUUAAUUUCUUUAAUUUUAUCACCUGGAUCUCAUCUAUUCCUUCAUAUUACUUACUAAAAUUGAUAAACUGCUAAAAUAAAAACGAUUUUAUGAUUUUAUAAGUAACGCAUCCAAACGUACCUACCUACAUUAGUUUAAUAAUUCAUUCUAAUCUAAUAGAGUAGUCAUAAUACAUGAGUACGUAGAUAUCUAUAUUUCUCCUAUACCUACAUGCAAAUUCAUAUAUCAGAGUGUAUGUUUUUUGUAUAUUAUAUUAUUUAUUAAAAAUGAUUCUCAUUCUUCAAGAUUUUUUAUUAAUUAUUCUUCAAAGUUAAACUUAAUAUCCUUAAUAAUCUCAAAAUUGUAUUGAUGGUGCAAACAUAUUCUAUUGAUUGGUGUUUUUAUUACUUGAUGCUUGCCGUUCACUUUAGAUUUAAAAUAUAAUAAAUUCUUGUCCAU